rnacentral:rRNA from 1 species
AUGGAUCCGAGUGAGAAAUUGAAUGUUCGCUUUCACUUUGGAGGGGAAUUUGUCCGAGUUGGUCCUGAGUUAGAUUAUGUUGGAGGAGAUGAGGAGAUAUCAGAGAUAGAAAGGGACAAACUGUCCUUACCAGAAAUCACAGGGCAUUUGGCUGAUCAUAUCACAUACAAAGAUUCCAUGAAGCUUUAUUUCUUGGUUCCGGGUUUAGAAUUGUCAAAUGGCUUGAUGUUUCUCUUUGAUGAUGCUGGUUGUAUGAAAAUGUCAGAGUACACAACCGAUAGUGGAGUGGCUGAUGUGUAUGUUGAGUACUUUGGAGAGCAGGAUGAGGAAAGUGAUAGGAGUGGUAGUGAUUUUGAAGAUGAGAUACAAAGUGAGGAAGAGGGAGACAGUGAGGAAGCACCUGAUGCUAUCAUUUCUGCCGAAGAACAAGUGCAAUUCAGUGUUGGAAAUGUGAAUGGGUUGGCUGACAGAAAUGAACAUGUGGUUGUACCAGAUGACACUGGAGUUAUAACUUCAGUUAUUGCCAGCCCUUUAAGGAGUACAAUGAAAGAAACUUUUAGAGUUGAGUGUGGACAGAGUUCACAGAUGAUUGAUGCUCUGACAGGAAGCUCUCAAGUGCUCAAUCCUCGGUCACAAACUUGCAAAAUUGCACUUAUUAAAGAAACAGUUCAAAAACCAACUGUACCUGGAAGAGAAGAACAUAACAGUGAGUUUGAACAUGACAGUGAUUCAAGCAGUGAUGAUAGUGAUUAUGUGCCAGGUAGUGAUGACAGUGGACUAGAGGAAGAGUAUGUGGAACUUAAGGAAGAAGCAAAGGCAUUUAAGAAGAGAAUAAGAGAUUCUAAGAAGUGGGCACAGAGAAAUCCAACAGGUGUUGUUCCAAUUGAUUUAGUUGCAAAUGUGGAAGAGGUGAUAGGAGAAGAUCACUUUGAUUCUGAUGAUGAAGAUUAUUCAUAUGAUGAAGAUAGUGAUCAUGAUGGACAUGUUGUCAGGAGGAAGAGCAAGUACCCCAGGUAUAAUCCGAAGGCAGAUAUUCCAAUGUUUUGUUUAGGGAUGGUUUUCAGGAGCAAGGAGCAGAUGAGAAAGGCACUAAUAAAAUAUGGACUGCUCACAUUUAGGAGUAUAAUCUUCAUGAAGUCAGCCGAAGAUAGGAUCAGGGCUAAGUGUGGAUGGCCUGGAUGUCCAUGGCUUAUAUAUGGUGCUAAGACUACCAGGUGUUCUAGGUUCCAGGUGUUAACAUUUGAAUCUGAACAUGAGUGUGCACCUAACAGAUACAAUCACCUUGUUACUGCUAUGGUUAUAGCAAGAAAGUAUGAGCACAUCUUAAGAGCUAACCCCACAUGGAAGAUUGACAGUAUUAAAGCUACUGUUCUCAAAGAUUUCUUUGCCGAUGUGUCAACAUCCAAGUGCAAGGCUGCCAAGAAGAUUGUAUCAGAGAAACUACUAGCAGGUAUGAAAGAGGAGUACACCAAGGUGUUUGAUUACCAGCUAGAACUAUUGAGGAGCAAUCCUGGAAGUACAAUACUUGUUGGCUUGGACCCUACCAAUAUGGAUCAGAAUAUUUUCCAGAGCUUCUAUGUGUGUUUCAAUGCUAUGAAGCAGGGUUUUAAAGCAUGUAGAAGGGUGAUUGGACUUGAUGGUUGCUUUUUCAAAGGAGCAUGCCAUGGUGAGCUGCUUUGUGCUAUUGGAUAUUACUGA